GUAUUAGUUAAGUUCUUGAAACCCAAAGGAUUUGGCGGUAUUUUAGUCUUUUCAGAGGAACCUGCCCCUUAAUCGACAAUCCACGAUUUUAUUUACUUGUUUUUGUUUAAGUUUGUAUACCUCCGUCAUAAGAGUAUCCUUUUAGGGUAAAUUCUCUUAAUUUUGUUAAUAUAAAUAUGUCAGGUCAAGGUGCAGCUUAUAAUCAAGUGGAGGUGGGUUACAAUAAUUAUACUUAUACGGAUAUAUUUUUUAUUAUUUAAUUGAAGGUGGAUUUGAAGGUAAAUUUAUUGAUUUAGGUUUAUUGAUUUUGGCUCUAGAAUAUGUACACAUCGCC
rnacentral:rRNA from 1 species